rnacentral:misc_RNA from 1 species
GGAACUCUUCCAAUUUUCAUUUGAAUUGCUGUUACAAAGAGCUUGAAAAUAUACAAUUUCUAAUGUCAUAGAAAGAACUUUGCUUUCUUUUCUCCUAUUGUAUACAAAAGAUGGUUAGUGAAAACCAGGGGAGAGUGAGCAUUCAUCCACUAAAUCUAAACCUGUUAUAGACAAAUAAAUUAGCCAUAAAACAGUUCCAUGGCUCACAAGAUUCAAUUAAAACCAAAAAAAAGAAGGAAAAGAAAACGAAAAAUCAUCUUUCGGCUCAUCUCUCAUUGGGCAAAAAGUUAGACAUCAGCAGAACAAAAUCCGGUUAACCUGUACGUCAUGAGUGUAUAUAUGCACGGACAACAUCUAUAAUGGGGGUUUCACAUAUCGGACAUUUUCCGGUGCCCCAAAGCAAUUCAUGGGCACACCUGAAACAGGUGCACAUAUGCCCACACCUGUAAAGGAGAGAAUCAACUUGCUGCUCAUAACAAAUACAGCAAUUUGCUAUGUUUGCACCCUUCUU